CUAUGUGUUUCAAUUUCCUUCAUGGUCGGUGACGUUCCGUCUGUCCCUCAUCUCGGCAUGCGCACGUACGUGCGUAUGCGCACAUGUGUGUGCUUGGGUACCCGCGUGUUGCGUGCGUGUGUGUGUGUGUGUGUGUGUGUGUGUGUGUGUGUGUGUGUGUGUAUCAGUGAUGUGUUCCUCGAGCCGGUCCUUGGCCUCGAGGACUGGCUCGAGGACCGAAGGGCGGUCCUUGGUCCUCGGCCUUGGCCUCGGAGUCAAGUCCUUGGCCUUGGCCUUGGGUUGGGACCUCGGACACAACGAGGGAUUAGAGCCUCUAAUCCUUCGUCCACAAGUGUAAAGUGGGCCAGAGGACCGCAAAAAUCAUAAAGAAAUCAAACAACGUUCCGUUCGCGCUCGGCAGUUUAAAUAGCGUGUAAAGCCUUUCUGUAACAGUGGUGUCUUUUAUUUAGUUAUUUUUGCACAGUCGUCACGUUUGUGCAGUCACACUAGAAUGUUUGUUUGAACCAUGUAAUUUGCGUUACAGCUGGAGUCAAUAAUGUCGGCACUUCACUUGUGGGUUUGGCCGUUGGGAUUUGGAGUCCUUUUGCUCGAUUCCAGUUUUCCAAAUAAUGUGCAUUUUUGGGACGCAAGGAAAUUUCUCAGUCAAAACAAAUAAACAAACAAAAAAAACUACGGCAAGCCUCAGGAUUUCACGGGAACAAUCGUUACCGGUAGCGUGUCUUUUCCGUGGCGUCAUUUCAACGGUACCGAAAAAUAGUUUAACCAUAAAAGGAAGAGGAUGUCAAGCCACAUCAAUACUUACCUGUAUUAAUGAUUA